UAGCGCGCGAAGGUAAACACUGACGAGAGCGGAGAGUGUGCAAGGCAGAGCAGAAGGAAGACUGAGGCUGAUCGCCAUAAUUCCCGAAUGUCUCGACUGUCGAAUCUCUACCUCUUCGCUUACAACUCUCUUCAAGCCUUUGGAUGGUCGGUCUCUCUUUUUCAAGUUUUGAGCGGCUUCGUCGUCACUAGGUCUGUCGAUGGCGCUUACGCUUCCGCUGGAGAGCUUAUCUGUCUGCUUCAAGCUGCUGCAUUCAUUGAAGUCCUGCACGGAGCAUUAGGAAUUGUUCCAAGCGGGGCGUUGUUUCCUCUGAUGCAAUGGGCUGGAAGAGCACAUUUUCUGUUUGCAAUUGUUCGUCGAAUCAGUGAGAUCCAAGAAUUACCAGCAGUUUUCAUAACCUUCAUUGCCUGGUGUCUAAGUGAUGUGAUCAGGUACCUGCAUUAUGCUUUGAAUUGCUUCAAAUGUUGUCCACCUUGGGUUACCUAUCUCAGGUACACCACAUUUAUUGUGCUCUAUCCAUUAGGAGUAGCUCCUGGUGAAAUGUGGCUCAUGUUCCAGGCACUUCCUUUCAUUAAGAAGACUGACCUCUAUGCGGAUUUCUUUUCCAGCAUUCCCUUCAAUUAUUAUGAUUUCGUCCGGAAGGUGUCGUAGACAACUGCAGCAAUGCCAGCGCCGACGAAGGGGCCGAGCCAGUACACCCAGUGGCUGUCCCAAGACCAGCUCACGACAGCUGGCCCGAAUGAGACUGCUGGGUUCAUGGAUGCUCCAUCGAAGGCGCCACCUGCUAAGAUGUUGGCACCCACGAUGAACCCAAUCGCAAUGGGCGCAACAAUCCCUAUAUUCCCCUUCUUUGGGUCAACGGCAGUGGCAUAGACGGUGUAGACGAGGCCGAAUGUCAUCACUAUUUCAAAGACCAGUGCAUUCCACACGCUGACAUCGGAUGAUAGCGAAAAUGCCGAUGUUUCCUGCAUCAUAAUUGAGACAUAAGCAAGCAGGCCACUACCGAACCAAGCAACUGAGCAACCCAGUACAAGACACUCCGAGAUAGUGUUAUGUGCCCACCAACAAAGGCUCCGAAUGUGACUGCCGGGUUGACGUGUCCACCGGAAAUGUUUGCACCCACUGAAACCGCGACAAAAAGUGCGAAAGCAUGAGCAAGGGAUGCCGCCACAAGGCCUGCUGGAGUCGUCGAGCCAUCAUCCGUGAGCUUAUCUGUCAAGACACCAAAAACAUUUCAAUUCACGACCUUCAUAUAUCAUUAUAGAUUAUGUAUGAACCUUACGAGCUUGUCAUAACUUAUCAAAAUUAUAAAACCAACGAAAGCUUACCGUGGAUGUUCUGUUUUAGCUCUUAGGACUUGCUUUUGUAAGAUGUACAACAUGCUAAAUAAAUGACAUUUACGAAUUGAAGUCGUGACA